rnacentral:misc_RNA from 1 species
UGUAUAAGAGACAGGUGAGUCAUCGAAUCUUUGAACGCACAUUGCGCCCUUUGGUAUUCCGAAGGGCAUGCCUGUUCGAGCGUCAUUUCACCCAUCAAGCUACACUUGGUGUUGGGCGUUUGUCCCGCCAUUGCGCGUGGACUCGUCUCAAAGUAAUCGGCGGCCCGUAUUUGGCGUGUAGCACAGCAGACUGGUUGCUGCAACGCCCAAGAACGUGCCUGCCGCAAGGUAUCAUUUUGUUUUCGACCUCGGAUCAGGUAGGGAUACCCGCUGAACUUAAGCAUAUCAAUAAGCGGAGGA